rnacentral:rRNA from 2 species
GAAUGCUGACAUAAGUAACGAUAAAGCGGGUGAAAAGCCCGCUCGCCGGAAGACCAAGGGUUCCUGUCCAACGUUAAUCGGGGCAGGGUGAGUCGACCCCUAAGGCGAGGCCGAAAGGCGUAGUCGAUGGGAAACGGGUUAAUAUUCCCGUACUUGGUGUUACUGCGAAGGGGGGACGGAGAAGGCUAUGUUGGCCGGGCGACGGUUGUCCCGGUUUAAGCGUGUAGGUGUGUGUUCCAGGUAAAUCCGGUUCACUUUAACACUGAGGCGUGACGACGAGGCACUACGGUGCUGAAGCAACAAAUGCCCUGCUUCCAGGAAAAGCCUCUAAGCAUCAGGUAACAUCAAAUCGUACCCCAAACCGA